rnacentral:lncRNA from 1 species
UACAGAAUGAUUAAUGAUAUUUAUAAAAUAGAUAUUUAAGAGCGUGUAGGCAUGGGAAGAACUUUUCAACUCACUCGCUUAAUAAUUCAUUGCUUUAUAAAAGGAUAUUAUAGCGUUCCGAAAUGCAGAGCUGACAAUUUCUAUCGGCGGGGGGGAGGGGGGCGUGUUAAGGUUUUGCAGAACAUAUAAUCUUCCAUCUAAUCUUAAAACUGAUAUUACUGUGUUAAUUUCCUGAUAAAUUUACUAAGACUAAUGAAAGAACGUUUACCAGAGUUCCUAAAAGAAUAUUCGUGGUUGGCCAAACGUAUUUUCAUAUAAGAUUUCGUCGAACCAAUGUAGAAAAAGUGUUUACCUUUAGCUUCAACUAUAGCUUGGUAUACUAAAUUCUUCCGUUGGCUUACUAAUUAAAAUACUAAUUUUUCUGAAAGUUAUGAAAGCUAACUUUUGUGAAUUUGUCAGAAACUCCUGUCCCCACCACCGGGAAAUUUUUUUCACACCAAAUUCCCAUAUAAUCAGAAUCUACACCAUCUGAAGCAUAGUCAUAAAAAGUAAUUCUUUAAAAAUAUAUACCUUUCUGGAAGUUAUGAGAAAACAAAGUCAAAGGUGGACACUUGUGUAGGUGGUAUGCCCAAUAAUUAAAACGAUUACGGUAACUGUACUGUUUUCUUUAUUUACUAUUAAGACAAUAGGCGAGAGGGCAUAGCAUAGACUGUUACUAAAUGGUGGUGGUGGUGAUGUUACGAUAAAUCCAAACGAGUGUCAAAGAAGUUGAAAUCUACACAGUAUAAAAAAUUCCAGUGUUCUCAGAAAAUGACCGCCACUAAGUGUCAAUCAAAGAACAUCACAGAUCUUAGAGCACUGUCAAGCAUAAAUGCCUUCUUCCAUCAGUCGUUCACUGACCUACGCAUACUGAGAGAAGAUCCAAUCGAUUGAGCCAUACUCACCACUUUCACCUACCUUCUUGUAAAUUUAUUAGACGGUUGCGGUCCCUCUCCACCCUCCUUACCAAGUGGAAAGUGUACACACAUACGAGCGAAGAGCGAAAAGUUUAAUGUUUGUGUACAUGGGAGCAUUUCAUCUAUUCAAUUUUGCAGAUUUCGUCCUACAAAUUUUAAAAGGUUGAUAUGAAGAAUCAUCAAAGAAUUUUCUUACAAUAUGUAACUUUUGGAACGAAGAAGUAAAACAAUGGACAGACUAUACAGAGCCAGCUAGAUUAAGGUUACCAAAUGUCCAGUUUACGUGGAACAUAUCUCCUAUUUGAUGAUCUUGACCUUUGACUCAUACAAGUCAAAGGUCAAGAAAAUAAAUGAAAAUACACAACUUGUAUUUUUAAAAAAAUUCAUCAAAUUUAACUUUCCGCCUUUGAAAAUACAUUCACCCACGCAAACACUUUCAUUAUUUGACCUUGAAAGCACUUCUUAUAACAUCUAUGCCCACUUGAACGUGAGCGACAGUGUUCCGUAACCUUUUUUCACUUGCGGUAUACUUAUAUUCUUUUCAAAAUUCGGCGGUACACCUGAACUAAAAAUAUAACUAAAACUUUAGGGGAAAAAAUUAUAUUCAAGUUACACUGCGGCACACCUAGAAUCGUCUCGUGGUACGCCAGUGUGCAGCGGCAUCCCAGUUGCAGAGCACUGUGUUGGAACAAACUAUACUGCAGUAGUUACCAUGAGAGAAACUCUCAUAUUGGAUUUUGGUGCAAAAUGCACUCGUGUUAGUAGUUACCGUGAUAACUUCCGGAAACAUUAAUUCUUUCACUUUCAUUGAGUCCUCACGACGAAGAAGCGCUUUCGGUUUUCUAUCAGGCAAACGUCAGCGUUUGACUAAGUUAAUACUUUUCUUCCAUGGAUGGGUUACAUUUCUCAGCAACCCUACUUUCCCCACCAAAAAUAAAAUUUUCUUUUUGUUUCUCUUUUAUUAUAAUAAUAACGAUGUUCGAAACUGCUUCAAAUUUAUUGCAUUGGGAAUGUUUUUUAAUAGAAAACUACGUUCUCAAGAAAUGUUUGUUUUAUCUAAAGGGAGAUAACUCUAAUUUUUAUCUGCUCUCAGUAAAUUAAACGAAAUCGUUAUUUAUAGCAUUUAAGGACCUGUCUGAUAUUUUAUUUGUAAAAAAAUUACUUCGAACAUGUGAAUUUAUUUCCGUUAAAUUUUGAUAUAAAAGAACACAUAGGAAUCCCCCAAAAAAUUUUGAAAAA